rnacentral:rRNA from 1 species
UAACAUUUCUAGCUUGCUAGAAGAUGACGAGUGGCGGACGGGUGAGUAAUGCUUGGGAACUUGCCUUUGGGAGGGGGAUAACAGUUGGAAACGACUGCUAAUACCGCAUAAUGUCUUCGGACCAAACGGGGCUUCGGCUCCGGCGCAAAGAGAGGCCCAAGUGAGAUUAGCUAGUUGGUAAGGUAACGGCUUACCAAGGCGACGAUCUCUAGCUGUUCUGAGAGGAAGAUCAGCCACACUGGGACUGAGACACGGCCCACACUCCUACGGGAGGCAGCAGUGGGGAAUAUUGCACAAUGGGGGAAACCCUGAUGCACCCAUGCCGCGUGUGUGAAGAAGGCCUUCGGGUUGUAAAGCACUUUCAGUUGUGAGGAAAAGUUAGUAUUUAAUACCUGCUAGCCGUGACGUUAACAACAGAAGAAGCACCGGCUAACUCCGUGCCAGCAGCCGCGGUAAUACGGAGGGUGCGAGCGUUAAUCGGAAUUACUGGGCGUAAAGCGCACGCAGGCGGUUCGUUAA